UUACGACCAUAUCGCAUUGAAAUGAUGGUUCUUGUACGAUCACUGAAGUUAAGCAACGUCGAGCAUGGUUAGCGCCUAGAUGGGUGACCGCUUGAGAAUACCAGGUGCUGUAA